AACACACCCCUAGAACACCAGUGUUCCUCAACAGCAGCUGCAGGCAGUGACCCUAAUGCUGGGACAGCCCCAGAACCCUCCCAGCAGCUGCAGGCAGUGACCCUAAUGAAAAGCCCUGCCAGCAGCAGCACCACACAGCAACCCUAACAGCGAGAGCACACCGGAACGCUCCCGCUAGGACAAGGCAGUGACCCUCACACCAGGACAACGACAGAACCCUCAGAGGACAACGGGACCCCCUGGAGAAAGGUA